CAGGGUUUCCAGAUGUAAUUGGGUGCAUUGAUGGCACUCACAUUCCUAUUAAAGCUCCAUCAAUAAAUGAGGGAGACUAUGUUAAUAGGAAAUCUAUUCAUAGUAUCAAUGUGCAGGUAAUAUGUGAGGCAACCCAAAUCAUCACCAAUGUCGAGGCAAAAUGGCCAGGAUCUGUGCAUGAUGCCAGAAUUUUCCGCGAGUCAUCAUUAUGCCAGACAUUUCAGCAGGGACAGUACAAUGGUUACUUGCUGGGGGACAGAGGAUACCCUUGUCUGCCCUAUUUAAUGACACCCUACCCUGAACCUGAGCCUGGACCACAGACACGGUUUAACCUGGCUCACAGCCGAACACGGGCCAAGGUGGAGAUUACUAUAGGAAUCCUCAAAUCUCGGUUUCAGUGUCUGCGUGGGCUCCGGGUUAGUCCAGAGAGGGCAUGCGACAUUAUUGUGGCUUGUGUUGUGCUUCACAAUAUUGCCACUAUAAGAGGAGAGAGCCACCCUCCUUGUAUUGAAGAAGAUGGCCCAGAGGAACACCGACAGAUUUUAGAGGCCAACAGAGACGGAAGACUUUUGAG